ACAAUCCUUAUGUUUGCAAUUCAAAUCAUUCUUACAAAAGUAUAAUCCCCAAAAUAUCAUGAGAUUUACAUUCACUUCAACCACAAGUACAUCAUACCAUAAAGUUCACAAAUCUUUCAAAAUAACCAUUACAUUCCACAAAGAAAAUCAAUCACAACCCAGAUGAAGGAUAAUCCACGGUACUCCAAAUCCUUGUGCUUGAGUAACUAUCCUUCUCGAGCCCUGCAUAGAACUAAAAUAUUUUUGGGGGUGAGCUAAAGCUCAAUGAGGUUUCAAAAGGAAAAAUCAAGUAUUUAUAAACCAGUGCGUAAGUGCUACUUUGGAAACACAUGUAGAAGUAGUACUUUUGUUGGUAACUUUACUACGAGUACAACUCAUAAAUCAUUUAAAAAUCACUAACGUACAUUUGGAAUGAACGACCAUAUAAAUAUAUUUUCACGAAUUUUAGUCAAACAAAUAGUGGCUCGUCCGACUAAAAGAACAUUACAAGGAUUGCUUCGUCUCAGAGAUUAAUGCUCAUGAGGAGUCUUACCCGAGAAAUGUCAACUAGGAGAGCAAUAACAGUAUUAAUAGUAAAGCAAACACAAAAGGAUACAGUACUCGGUCCACUUCCCGUCCUUAUAACUCCCAUCGAUAACUCCCUCGAUUGACUGGCCAUCACCUUAUCCCUCCAGUGGUAAUACUCGAGUAUACCAAAAUAAAGUGCCCAGGGUUAUCAACCUAUCCGACCGAGUCCGCUUCUGGCUCGAAUAGGUGAUAACGAAGGGGAAAAGGCCUUGUUCAGCCAAUGUGAUAAAGUACACAUGGCCUACAGCAUACGCAAAUAACAUAUACACAAUGAAAUAUUGAACAGUUAAGCGAUACAGCAACAGUUAGGUCGAGUGCGAUAAAGUACACACUCGCCUAGAAAUAAGUACUUUUCAUUCAAGUGAACAAGAUUCAUCGAGUAUUUGACCACUUAGGCAUGAAAGAAGCACUCAUCAAGUCACAUCACGUAUAUAUAUAAAAGCAAUUAUACAAACAGUGAUUAUAAAAGUUCGAGAAGCAAUUUUGUGCAAAACAGUUUGGAAUCACUCACCGUAAUCCGGAGCAAAGCAAGAGCAAAAGCAGGAAAUUAAAAGAGCUUCUCGGUGUCCUCUGAACCACCUGAGAUUAAUCACAAUCACAAAUUACCUAGAUGCUCGAUUAAGGCGAAUAAAAGAAAACCUCUUAGAAUUAAAACUAGUAAAAGUGAUAAAAUUUUUCGUAUGGUUUCUUUAAAGAUACUUUUCUUUCUAGAGGUGCAACUAGAACUAAUACACUUCAAAUAAAUUUUCUUGCCGAGCAAGUUUUCUACACUUUUCAUUUAAAAUUAUUAAAAUCUAGUGUUUUUUUAAUAAUUUUUCUCUAAAACAACUAGCCAGGAAUAAUUUCACGAAAAACUUAAAGUUUGGAAGUUAAUGUAAUUAUUUCUUAAAGGUAAUAAAGCUAGUUUAAACAAAGAAAAGAAUUAACUAGUUAGCAAGGUUUUAAAAGUCCCGUCAUUUAAGUUUUAAUAUUAACGUGCUAUUCUCAAUCUCUAUAACUUGAUAGUAAGAUAAAAUAAUUCCACAAAGCUUGAUUUAAAAGUACUCAAAUUCAACAGACCAAAACGGACUUCACGAUUACAAAUCAUUUGCACAUUGUAUUCCCGGUUGCCAAAAUAGCCAAAUCACAAUUCAAACAUCAAUUUCACUAGGGCUUCAUCAAUCAUUAGCCCUAGGUCUCAACAGAUUCAAUUCCAGAUAAAAUUCAACAAAGGAAGUCCAAGGUAUCAAAACAAUCCCAAAUCACAAACCAUGGACCUUCCAAAUACGUUUCAACCAACCACUUGAACAAAUUCACCAAAAAUUAAACUCUUGCAAAAAUUACUCAAAUGGCCAAGAGCUUCAUCAAUCAUUAGCUCUUGACGACAAACAAUCAUUCCUUGCAACAAUCAACCAGAAAUUUAACUCAAACAUAGAAGAUAAGUCACGGUUAGCUUACACGCACAUAACUCUAGAAAUUCAUAUUUUCCUUUCUUGUUUCAAUAUUCAAGAAAAUUUGAGCAAAUGUCAAUUCAAGAUGUCUAUUAAAUCUCCAACUUUUACUUGCUAGAAACACUAAACAUAUGGCUUAUAAUUUGUCCAACCUAAACUAAAACAAACAAUACACAAAUCCAGAAAAUAAUCUCACCAAAAGUUUCAACUAGUACGGCUAGCAACCAUGUACAAAUUCCAGCAAUAUAACCCAUUAACUUAUAGUGUUUUGUCCAUAACUUCCUUCAAUUUUUACUUCAACUCAACAUGCAAAAAGGUGAUUAACCAGCUACAAACUAAUCUUAAUUACCCAGUAUAAAAAUCUUAGCUAAAAUUCAAAGGAAAACUAAUUAAAGGCUCAACCUCUUCUUUCGGCCGCAAUUCAGCUUUCUUUUCUUUCUCUUUUUUUUUUUAUUAAACACGACUCAUCUCAGCUUCAUGCAUGAUCAAAAUAAUUAACUAUCAAUCAGCUUUGAUCCAAUCCAUGUGCGGACAUCAUAAAAAAAAACAUCCAACCAGAAUUUUCAUUCCAACCCACUCGAUCGACAUGCAUGCAUCCAGAUUUUGUUUUCCUUCAAAUUUCUGGUUUACACACUGCUAAUAAAUCUCAUACAGGGCUUAAUCAUCCAGUAUUUAGUUAGCUAAACAUGCAACCAAGAGAGAAACAACCACUUUUCAGCAAAUUUCACACUAAUUUACCCAUACAACUCCAUCGGCUAAAUUGGAAAUUUGUUUAGCAGUCCAGCAACUUUCAAAUAAAAAUUUCCAGCCAUGCAACCGAAUUCCUGGCCACAAAGUUCUCAUGCAACACCAAAUAAAGAACUAUCUAUCAGGUUGGGUCCAAAAUUAAGCUCAGAUCAUCACAAACUAGCAAAUUAAAAACCGAAAUUUCCAGCUCAAGCUCUCAACAACUUCACUUCCUUCUCAAACAGAUUUUCUGUGACUUAAACUAUCAUCUGACCACGCAACCCCACAUGCAUGCUUAUAGACAGCUUCAUCAACCCAUAGACAACUCAUCUAAGUCCAGAAAUUACCUUAGCGUGAAGCUUAAUACACACGACUAGCAGCUGCAACAAUCCUUCACCCUCGGCUGUCUGGAAAUUUAGCCCGCUAGCUCUUCCUCUUCCUUGCUCAAGCUCGUCACUAGGAUGAAGAAGGUUUGGUUCAGACUCCUCACCAGCUCACGGAUGAAAGAAAGAAGGAGUAGCAGGUCUCACCUUUUUUUUUUUAGCUUACGGCAGGAUGGAAAGGAAAUGAGAGGCUCGGCUCACUCUCUCUCGGUCGUUAAUUCCAAGGGAACUGCUCCCUCACGGCUCACGGCAGAAAAGAAACUAGAAGUGUGAUAUUGUAAUGAAUUGGAAAUGAUAUAAUGGAGUGCGUGGAUAAUGUAAUGUAUAUAGAGUGAUGUUGUGAGUGGAGUUGGUCGGCAAUAGCAAAUGGAAAAUGCUGG
rnacentral:lncRNA from 1 species